AUUACGAGUUUCAAAGUCCGUCUCGUGUAUGAACCUUUGUGUUUAGAGGCAAAAUGAAUUUUGCGAAAUCUUGGAGCGAAUUUAAAGAAAUACUUCGCAGACACGAAGUAGAAACUGUAACAAAAUAUGUGUAUUACUAUGGAAAGUCAUUAGAUAAAGAGACACCAAUGGACUAGCAGAUGAGAUAGCUGAAUACUGGAUGUUUGAUCAAGGUACAAAUACUGUUGAAUGGAUUAGCUGCAUGGGAAUUUUCCUGUUCUCCUUAUAUAUAAGUGAAUACAAGACAGUUUCCCAUUAGACCUUCUCAAAGGCAUCCCUUUUGCUUGAACUAACUCCAGAUUUACGAUUAAACUGGUUAGAUGAUAUUCCCUAUUUCCACUUUGGGCGAAAAACCUAUGUUUGCCAUCAAGGAAAAGAUCUGAAUAAACGUCAAAAGGAAAAUUAUGCUAAAGAAAAAAAUGAAAAGUGUCAAACUGAUCAUGCUUUUGGUAAAGCAUAUUCCAAGAACCAGACAACUAAAAAAGUUAAUUGUCCAGCUGUAAUUAAUGUUACCCGAAUGUACAGGAUGCCUCAGUUCAAGGUAGAAGUUUAUUUAACUUUUUGUUCUAAGAUGGUCUUAGUAAUUUUAGGGAAUUUUUUUUUAAGGAAAAAAUAUAAUUCUGUCAUGUAUGAGCAAGAUGUAUUGAAGGUAUUCUAUGAUAAAGUAUACAUACUUUUUGACAUAAAAACAAAAGGUAUUUUUAGAGUCACAAUGUAAAAAAGAGAAAUGAUUUUUUGUGUCUCUUUAUUCAACAUAUUUUUCUAAAUAGGU